rnacentral:rRNA from 1 species
CGUAGGGUGCGAGCGUUAAUCGGAAUUACUGGGCGUAAAGCGUGCGCAGGCGGUUUUGUAAGCCAGAUGUGAAAUCCCCGGGCUUAACCUGGGAAUGGCAUUUGGGACUGCAAGGCUUGAGUGCGGCAGAGGAGACUGGAAUUCCUGGUGUAGCAGUGAAAUGCGUAGAUAUCAGGAGGAAUACCGAUGGCGAAGGCAGGUCUCUGGGCUGACACUGACGCUCAUGCACGAAAGCGUGGGGAGCAAACAGGAUUAGAUACCCUGGUAGUCCACGCCCUGAACGAUGUCGACUGGUUGUUGGGGGUUUGACACUCUCAGUAACGAAGCUAACGCGUGAAGUCGACCGCCUGGGGAGUACGGCCGCAAGGUUA